AAGCAACUUGUGAACUCUCGCGAUAGUAUGCGGGACGAAAUCAAGCGCUUUUCGUACUUGAGCGCAUGCGGAUUUCUUUCCUUUCCAAGUGAGUCAAAGAACGGAACGGUCUCUCGCGCGUGGCGCACGAGCACAGCAAACAUGGUGCUCUUACACGUGUUGUACGAGCACGCAGCUGGAUAUGCGUUAUUCGCUGUCAAAGAAGUGGAAGAGAUCGGAAUGCUUCUACCUCAGGUGGAGCAAAGCGUCCUAAACGUUGGCAAGUUCAGUAACGUGAUCAAACUGAGCGCGUUCUUCCCCUUUAAAUCCGCCCAAGGUGCACUGGAAAACAUCAAUGCCAUCUCAGAAGGAGUUGUCCAUGCGGAUCUCAAGUUGUUCUUGGAGACCAACCUUCCGUCCGGAGGUAAAAAGAAGGCAAUGUUGGGGGUGUCUGAUGCUAAGCUUGGGGCGGCGCUUCAAGAAGAGCUCAAUCUGUCCAUUCAGACUGGAGGCGUUGUAGCUGAAAUUAUAAGAGGUGUGCGUUUGCACUUCCAUUCCCUGGUCAAGGGACUCACCGCUCAGGCUACGUCCAAAGCUCAGCUGGGUUUGGGUCACAGCUACUCCAGAGCCAAAGUCAAGUUCAAUGUCAACAGAGCAGACAACAUGAUCAUCCAGUCCAUCGCCCUCCUCGAUCAGCUGGACAAAGACGUCAACACAUUCUCCAUGCGUGUGCGUGAAUGGUACGGCUACCACUUCCCAGAGCUGAUAAAGAUAGUGAGUGAAAACAGCACUUACUGUAAGCUGGCCAAGCUGAUCGGAAACAGGAAGGAGCUGACUGAGGACAUGCUGGAGGCUAUAGAGGAGAUCACAAUGGACAGCGGCACAGCUCAGGCCAUUCUCGACGCGUCCCGCAGCUCUAUGGGUAUGGAUAUCUCUCCUAUUGACUUGAUUAACAUUGAGAGUUUCUCCAGCCGUGUAGUGUCUCUGACACAGUACAGACAGGAGCUGCAAGCAUAUUUGCGGUCUAAAAUGGACCAGGUGGCACCAAAUCUUGCUGCUCUCAUUGGUGAUGUGGUUGGUGCUCGUCUCAUCUCUCACGCCGGCAGUCUGACAAACCUAGCCAAAUAUCCGGCCUCCACUGUGCAGAUUCUGGGGGCGGAGAAGGCCCUGUUCAGGGCUCUGAAGACCAGAGGAAACACACCAAAGUACGGUCUCAUUUUCCACUCAACAUUCAUCGGGCGGGCAGCUGCCAAGAACAAGGGUCGUAUCUCUCGUUAUCUGGCCAACAAGUGCACCAUCGCAUCACGCAUUGACUGCUUUUCUGAGGUUCCCACCAGUGUGUUCGGUGACAAGCUACGUGACCAGGUUGAAGAACGUCUGGCUUUCUAUGAGACAGGAGACGCGCCACGUAAGAACCUGGAUGUCAUGAAAGAAGCCGUUGCCCAGGCUAGUGAGGUUACUGCUGAAAUCAAGCGCAAGCUCCGGAAGAAUGAAAAGAAACUGAAGAGGCGAGAGAAGAGGAAGUUGGAAGCACUUUCUCAAGCUGAAGGAGAUGAGGAAAAAGCCAACAGCGACGCUGAGGUACAUGAAAACGGAGACUCCAUUAAAAAGAAAAAGCAGACGAGGUGGUCUUUUUGAAUGGCGUUGAAGCCACCCAUUCCAAGAAAAAGAGGAAGCUUGAAGUUGUGGAACCAGAGGAGGCGGAGACUGUGAAUGUUGAAUGGAAAGGUGGGUAAGAAAAAGAAAAACCAGUGGUGUAGACUUUUUGUGAAUCAGGGCUCUGAAGACCAGAGGAAACACACCAAAGUACGGUCUCAUUUUCCACUCAACAUUCAUCGGGCGGGCAGCUGCCAAGAACAAGGGUCGUAUCUCUCGUUAUCUGGCCAACAAGUGCACCAUCGCAUCACGCAUUGACUGCUUUUCUGAGGUUCCCACCAGUGUGUUCGGGGACAAGCUACGUGACCAGGUCGAAGAACGUCUGGCUUUCUAUGAGACAGGAGACGCGCCACGCAAGAACCUGGAUGUCAUGAAAGAAGCCGUUGCCCAGGCUAGUGAGGUAACUGCUGAAAUCAAGCUCAAGCUCCGGAAGAAUAACAAGAAACUAAAGAGGCACCAGAGGAGGAAGUUGGAAGUGCUUUCUAAAGCUAAGGGUGGAAAAGACUGAAGAUGACAAACUCAUUCAAUCAAAAAUUAAGAUCUUGCUAUGAGAACUGAAUUGAUGUCAUUCAUGUGGUGUCCAAGUAUAACCCCAUUAAUAUUCACAUACGUCAUUGUAAUACUGACUGAUUUUGCUUUCAUUAAAAUGGUUUCAAAGUUGACAA